rnacentral:lncRNA from 1 species
AACACCACCGAGUUUCACAGGCUGUUCUAAAGCUCCUCAGUGCGGGCUGAUGGCAUCUCACCAAAAUGCGGUGCAAUAAAAGCAAAUCCUUGAAGAGUGGAAACCUUGCAGCCAGGUUCAUGCCUUCUCUUUUCUCCAUCCAUACAGGAAGGGCUCAAGAAUAUUGCUGUGCUACGGUGCUUCUGCAGGCAGGUUCACCAUCUGUGUAACUGUGGCUACCACCUUCCAUCUUGAACUCAGACACAGACCUCUCCUCCGAGCUCCAGAUCCAUAUAUCCAAUCUCCUUCUCAAUAGUCACUUGCAAGUCUCAGCCAUUUCAAAGUCAACCCAAAGUGGUAAUCUUCAAAUCUUUCCCAUUUCAACAAGUGACACCACCAUCCACUAAUUGUAAAAGUCAGAAACCUGGAUGCCAUCUUUGCUCCACUGUGAGAGGCUGCUCACACCACCCCCUACAUGCCCUGAGGAGUCUCCAGGGGCACCCACAGCCUCCUCUGGCUUUCUCUGGGUGACCCAGGGAGGGCUAGGCCCUGUGAGCCACACCGGGGCAGCAGCACUCACCAGCUCACAAGUGCUUCCCUCUUCUGCCUUUGCUGACAACAGUCCCCCAGGCCUUCCAUUCUCCUUCCGAUGAGGCUGAUGUAUUCUGUUGCAGUUGGAUGCACCUACAAAAAUCCUCUUCAAAAUCCCAUCACUUCACCACCAAGGAAUUACUAAAAUACCAUGAAGGAGGUGCUCAAAGGCGAUAUGGGGCAGAGGAAGGAAUAAGUGCCUGACCCUCUGCCCCUUCUCUCCUGCAGCCCCAUAUGUUCUUGGCACAAGAGGGCUACAGAAAUCCAAUAACAUCUUCGGAACCCGUCCAGAUUUGACAGAGCCAUCUGUGAAAAGCUGCUUGCCAGGGUGGGAGUGGCAGGGCAUGCUGUGGCUAUAGAUUUAGGGUCAAGGCAGACUGCCAGAGGGGUGGGGCAACCAAAAGGAGGGGACAUUGAGGCAGACAGUGGUGAGGGGUGGGGACAUGUGGAUGGAACGAGAUGGCCAUGGACUCUCCUGUUGUGACCACUUAAAACAGGUAGAAAUACGCCCCGAGGUGGGUAAAGUGCACAGCCGACUGCCAGGAGGGACAUGGGGCACAUAAUCUGAACUUAAACCCUUGUAGCCCUGGGAUUCUACUGAAAAUCCACCCUUGGACAGAGUUUCAAAACAGACAUUCAGCAAAGAAGGAUGCAUUAAGAUCUCAGGUUCAUCCUAAGGCCCAUGGAAGCACACCAGGCCUCCAGGGCCUGGGAAAAGACAAUAGCAGAGCUCUGAACAUGGACAAAGCUACAACACAGUAAGAAGAUUACAAUAUUUUUCCAGGCUAUCAUGAUUUUGCACCAUUUUAUGGUUUUCAGCCAACAUAACUCAUUAAAUGUGUAACAAAGAGUA